CGCUGGCGGCAGGCUUACACAUGCAAGUCGAGCGGGGGAAGGUAGCUUGCUACUGGACCUAGCGGCGGACGGGUGAGUAAUGCUUAGGAAUCUGCCUAUUAGUGGGGGACAACAUCUCGAAAGGGAUGCUAAUACCGCAUACGUCCUACGGGAGAAAGCAGGGGAUCUUCGGACCUUGCGCUAAUAGAUGAGCCUAAGUCGGAUUAGCUAGUUGGUGGGGUAAAGGCCUACCAAGGCGACGAUCUGUAGCGGGUCUGAGAGGAUGAUCCGCCACACUGGGACUGAGACACGGCCCAGACUCCUACGGGAGGCAGCAGUGGGGAAUAUUGGACAAUGGGGGGAACCCUGAUCCAGCCAUGCCGCGUGUGUGAAGAAGGCCUUAUGGUUGUAAAGCACUUUAAGCGAGGAGGAGGCUACUUUAGUUAAUACCUAGAGAUAGUGGACGUUACUCGCAGAAUAAGCACCGGCUAACUCUGUGCCAGCAGCCGCGGUAAUACAGAGGGUGCGUAGCGUUAAUCGGAUUUACUGGGCGUAAAGCGUGCGUAGGCGGCUUAUUAGUCGGAUGUGAAAUCCCCGAGCUUAACUUGGGAAUUGCAUUCGAUACUGGUGAGCUAGGAGUAUGGGAGAGGAGGUAAAAUUCCAGGGGUAGCGGUAAAUGCGUAGAGAUCUGGAGGAAUACCGAUGGCGAAGGCAGCCAUCUGGCCUAAUACUGACGCUGAGGUACGAAAGCAUGGGGAGCAAACAGGAUUAGAUACCCUGGUAGUCCAUGCCGUAAACGAUGUCUACUAGCCGUUGGGGCCUUUGAGGCUUUAGUGGCGCAGCUAACGCGAUAAGUAGACCGCCUGGGGAGUACGGUCGCAAGACUAAAACUCAAAUGAAUUGACGGGGGCCCGCACAAGCGGUGGAGCAUGUGGUUUAAUUCGAUGCAACGCGAAGAACCUUACCUGGCCUUGACAUACUAGAAACUUUCCAGAGAUGGAUUGGUGCCUUCGGGAAUCUAGAUACAGGUGCUGCAUGGCUGUCGUCAGCUCGUGUCGUGAGAUGUUGGGUUAAGUCCCGCAACGAGCGCAACCCUUUUCCUUACUUGCCAGCAUUUCGGAUGGGAACUUUAAGGAUACUGCCAGUGACAAACUGGAGGAAGGCGGGGACGACGUCAAGUCAUCAUGGCCCUUACGGCCAGGGCUACACACGUGCUACAAUGGUCGGUACAAAGGGUUGCUACACAGCGAUGUGAUGCUAAUCUCAAAAAGCCGAUCGUAGUCCGGAUUGGAGUCUGCAACUCGACUCCAUGAAGUCGGAAUCGCUAGUAAUCGCGGAUCAGAAUGCCGCGGUGAAUACGUUCCCGGGCCUUGUACACACCGCCCGUCACACCAUGGGAGUUUGUUGCACCAGAAGUAGCUAGCCUAACUGCAAAGAGGGCGGUUACCACGGUGUGGCCGAGGACUGGGGUGAAGUCGUAACAAGG
rnacentral:rRNA from 1 species